rnacentral:rRNA from 1 species
UACGUAGGGUGCAAGCGUUGUCCGGAUUUAUUGGGCGUAAAGAGCGUGUAGGCGGCUAUACAGGUCCGCUGUGAAAACUCGAGGCUCAACCUCGAGACGUCGGUGGAAACCGUAUGGCUAGAGUCCGGAAGAGGAGAGUGGAAUUCCCGGUGUAGCGGUGAAAAUGCGCAGAUAUCGGGAAGAACACCCGUGGCGAAGGCGGCUCUCUGGGACGGUACUGACGCUGAGACGCGAAAGCGUGGGGAGCGAACAGG